GUCUUGGUAGCUCAGAUUGCAGAGCACUGUACUUGUGAUGCAGUGGUCGUGGGUUCAAGACCCACACAAGACA